rnacentral:rRNA from 1 species
GACGUAGGGCGCGAGCGUUGUCCGGAUUUAUUGGGCGUAAAGAGCUCGUAGGCGGCUCAUCGCGUCUGCCGUGAAAACCCGCAGCUCAACUGCGGGCUUGCGGUUGAUACGGGUGGGCUGGAGUUCGGUAGGGGAGACUGGAAUUCCUGGUGUAGCGGUGAAAUGCGUAGAUAUCAGGAGGAAUACCGGUGGCGAAAGCGACUCUCUGGACGGCAACUGACGCUGAGGCACGAAAGCGUGGGGAGCAAACAGG